rnacentral:lncRNA from 1 species
UGUGUGUGUCGCCCAAAGCCAGAGGAAGGAAAUGGGAAAACCCUUUUCAUCAUUUUAUUUCAGCAAAUUGAAGCCUUAAUCGUAGCUAUUACCCAUGCAUGUUACUGAUUUUCCAAUCAUCUAAGCCUACUAUAACACAAGGAAUAAAGGAAGAAAGCUCAAGUCGUUCCGGAUCGCAAGCGAACACCGACAAAGGUAAAUCGUCUUGAUAGUUGGCGCUACUUUGGAAUGGACACACCAAAUCGCACGCUUCCGCAAUGAUGCUAGUUAAUGGGUCUAAACUUUUGUUAGAAGGUUUUCGUUAAGUUGGGUUUUUUUGUAAAUAACUUAACUUGGAAGGUUGUCGAUGUCGAAACUUUUGUUGUUUUAAAACUAUAUAGUUGU